UAUAAGAAACUAAAAGAAAAAGGGGAGAGCUUUGAGAUUGUGUUAAUAUCUCUUGAUGAUGAGGAAGAAUCAUUCAAACAAGCUUUCGAAAGCAUGCCUUGGUUUUCCUUGCCCUUCAAGGACAAAUUAUGCAAUAAAUUAGUUCGGUAUUUUGAGCUCUCAACCAUUCCCACUUUAGUUAUUAUUGGGCCUGAUGGAAAGGCUGUUCAUUCCAAUGUUGCUGAGGUGAUUGAAGAGCAUGGAGCUAUUGCGUACCCUUUUACCCCAGAAAAGUUUGCAGAGCUUUCAGAGAUAGAGAAAGCAAAGCAGGCCGCUCAAACACUAGAGUCGGUUUUGGUUUCAGGUGAUCUAGACUAUGUCAUUGAUAAAGAAGGAACUAAGGUAAAAUUCUCUUGCCUGUUCUUUAAUGCUACCAAGUGUUUAGUAGCCUAAUAGCCCAAAUAUGCACUCUCUUAUCCAAUUAAUUUGGCAUUGGUUGUUCUAUUUAUAUAUUUUCAGAUUCCCGUGUCUGCUUUGGUGGGAAAGAACAUGCUAUUGUACUUCUCAGCCCAUUGGUGCCCUCCAUGCCGUGCUUUUUUGCCAAAACUCAUUGAAGCAUACCACAAAAUUAAGGAGAAAGAUGAAGAAUUUGAAGUAAUUUUCAUCUCUAGUGACAGAGAUCAAUCCUCAUUCGAUGAGUUCUUUAGACGCAUGCCUUGGCUUGCACUUCCCUUUGGUGAUGCAAGGAAAGCAUCCUUGAGUCGUACAUUCAAGGUUGUCGGUAUCCCUAUGCUUGUUGCCCUUGGACGAACUGGUCGAACUGUUACGAAAGAAGCUAGAGAUCUAAUUACGAUGCAUGGGGCUUAUGCUUAUCCAUUCACUGNNNNNNNNNNNNNNNNNNNNNNNNNNNNNNNNNNNNNNNNNNNNNNNNNNNNNNNNNNNNNNNNNNNNNNNNNNNNNNNNNNNNNNNNNNNNNNNNNNNNNNNNNNNNNNNNNNNNNNNNNNNNNNNNNNNNNNNNNNNNNNNNNNNNNNNNNNNNNNNNNNNNNNNNNNNNNNNNUGAUGGAUGUGGGGAAACCGGGCAAUGUAUGGUCAUUCAACUGUGACGAGUGUGACUUUGAUCUUCAUCCGAAGUGUGCGCUAGAGGAAGAUAAAGGAAGCAAAGAUGAGACAGAGCAGGAGGGUACUACCAAAGAAGGUUGGGAUAUGUGAUGGAGAGGUAUGCACAAGAGCUUGAGGAACAUCUGUUUCUGAGUCUUCGGCUUGAGAUACUCCGUUUGGUAAGUGGUUCUGGUUCUGCCUUGUGCCUUUGGGGUGUUGGUUAUGUAAUAACAUUUCCAUGUCUGGAAAACUUGUGUUGGUAAGGUAUGCUUAACGUCGUAUAAAUUAUAUUUUGCUUAACAACUGUAUUAUUACAUGAAUAAUGUGGAUUAGUCUUGUCAAGUGUGCCAACCAAGGUAUUUAUCAUAGAAUUAGUCCUUUGUUAUAUGUAUUUUAUAUAUUUUCUCUUCUCAGUUUCCCUAUCCUCCCACUCUAAAUCUUCUACUUGGUCUCAAAUCAGUUCAUUCUCCAUAUUUUUUAUUACUCGUGCACUUAUCCCUCUUUCUCUUACCAUUAUAAUUUAUUCAUCUGGAACCCCGUCACACAGCUCCCUACUUCACCACACUCUCAAACAUAAUAUACAGAAUAUUUCAGUAUUCAAAUAAACAUUAUAAGUAGCCCAUGAUCAAGCAAUUUAUACUAAUAGCAACAUGCCCAAAAAAUAGUAAUCAAUUAAUACCAUCAUAUUUCAUGCAAUUACAUGCAUGCACACCACAAUUCGAUCAUCACAUUAUACGCAGAGCAUCCUGCUGCAAAAACCACUCCCUAUUCAUACACCGACUAAUUUCUGACAGCCAUAUAAUCGCCCACAUACACACUUAUACACGAAAAAACAAAACAUGCAACUACGUUAUCAUAGUAUGACUGGUAUAUACAUAUAUAUAGACAUUUUUUCCGUCAACCACUUGGUUCCAAUCGUCCUAUUAGUCAUCCUCACACUCUCUCCAAGAGCUAUAAUUCUAUAUUUAAUCCCAUUCAACUCUACGGUUACCGUUGGACUCUUUACGAUUUUAUCUAAUCUACCAGUCAAUUUUCUUUUCUCCAGUUGGUUACCUGUCACUCAGUUCCUGCAGUUCAUACCCAACAUCGCUUCACAUUUUAUAAUCUCUCACUAUCAUAAUUCUAAUAUAAUUAUGUGAGCACUAGUAUACUGCUAAUCCUCUCCAACCCGACUCUCUUCUCCAGUUUAAACUGUAACGACCAGGGAAUAAUAAUUUGAGUGGUCUAGAUCUCACCUUUCUUUAGACAAUUGAGAUCUUCCCAUCCCAUAAUAUAUAAAGAAGCUUCAUUUAUUAAAAAAAAUGAGGAAAUGAAAAUAGAACCCUAAAAUGACAAGAUCGAUGGUAGGAGAGAGAGGAAAGAGGAAGGGUUGCUAGAACCGAACCAGAGAAAGGAAGAAUACAUAAGCAGGGGAGGCAGCAGAAGUCCAAAGACCGAAAAUUGAUAUGGCACAUAAAAAGCGGUCGCAACGAGCUGUGAGUCUAGCUUAGGGGACAGAGACGAUUGUACCUUGAUUCAUUUGUAUCACUCUAUGCCAAAGAGGUAAGGAUUAUUUGCCUCCUUAAUCUAUCUCAGUAAUUAGCACACUUAGAAAUUUAAAGUUCUUAAAUGAUUAUUUCCAUUUCGAUCCAGAGUGAGUAGGAAAUCUAAUUUAAUGUCUUCUGUCAUCUCUCAAUGCACUGAUAUCAGUGUCAUAAACCAUGAUCUUCUAUAAUCAGAGUCGGUUUACAUUGGGGCAUAUCAGCACUUACAGUAGAACUUAGGAGAUUGAUGGACUAGGAGAGUGAACACCGGAUGAGUAGUAAAUUAGGAUGGGAGGUAGAGAAUUAGAGGUGAAACCGUAGUAGUUUACGGUGCUCAGUCGUUGGUGGAGCAAAUUUUGAGAAAUGGGCUCUUGGUCUCCAUUUAAGUAAUUUGCAGGAAAUUAAGAAACUCAUAGGAGUUAAGGAGAGAACGCCCUCAGCAUUCUGGAUGUUGUACCCAAAAUUUAAGAAUGUCUAUUAAACUUUUACAUUGGAAAAAAAAAACAGACAAAUAACCUAGAAAAGGAUUCUGGUAAAUCGUAGUGCUUAAGUCAUAACAAAAUAUAACGACAAAAAAAAUAACUGAGUUUAUAUUAGUUUGGGAAGGGUAGAAAUAACCUGCAAAAUGGGGUAGAAAUUUAAGAGAAUAGAAUAAGAGAAUCUGGGCACCGGUUAGAAGUUUUGGAAAAAAAUCUCAAUAAAGAUUAGAUAAAUACAGUUGUAGAGAAAACCACAAUAAGGGUUUUGGGAUUUGUGACAUCCUGGGUGUCAAUUAAGACAAAUGGUGUUAGAUACAGAUUCAUAAUAACGAGUACAUGAUAAUAUUUAUGCAGUAGAAUCAAAUCUUAACAAAUUCCUUAUAAAUAUAUAUAUAAUGUUCUAAAUACAUAUAUCACUGAGGGCAGAAGUGACUACAAAACACUUCUUUUACUAUGCUACUGGAAUUCAUUAGAGUGCGGGAAGAGUCAUGCACUUAGACUUGUAGAUCCACGGGAUCCUCAGAGGCUUUCAAGGGUAGGUCUGUUUGUAGUUCCUCAUUUUCUUCCUCAUCGUGGGUGGUGGGGGGGGAGGGGGGAGGGAAGGGGGAGGGGAGGAUGGAAAGAGUGAGUUAUAUAUACUCAGUAUAGAAAACAGUAUUAAAUUAAUAUCGUAAGAUUUCAAAAGUUUAUUAUUUUAUCUUACUGUUUAGCUUCCUCGUUUACUUAACUCAUCAUUAUGAAAAUCAUUUAUUUAAAUACGAAAAUGGUACGUUAGUUCAGAAAAUCAAAUAUAUAUAGAUCAUGCCCAAAUAAUAGAGAAACAGAUACUCUUCAGAGAUAAAAAGUCUAACAAGACACUUGAUACAAUAUGAAUAUCAAUACAGAUACGCUUUGGAUCAUGCAUGUUUAAUUUUACUUUUUCUUUUUUUUUUCUUUUUUUUUUUUUUACUGUUAGGGUUAUAUACUAUAUAUAUUACAUGCAAAUUCAUCAAGUGUUAGUAAUUCACACAGCAUGCUUGAAAAUCAGAACAAUUCGAUUAAUUUGAACACAGAGGCAUACAAAACAGGGAGAAUAACAAUCAUAUUAACUUUACUUAUUUAAAAAUAUUUUUUAAGACGUUGAAAAUAAUACUAAAUUCCUUACCGAAACCUCGAUAUUUUCUUCUUCAUUGUUUUCAUUUCUUUCUCUUCUUCUCUCACUAAUUUACUAUAUAUAUAUAUAUAUAUAUCUAAAUCUUUAAAAAUAAAAGAAAUGGAAGUGUGGAGAGGAAGGGAAGGGGAAGGAUAAUUUAUAGAAUUUCGGAACCAUUGGAUUCGCACCAAGUGGCAAAAUCCAGUAAAGAGAGAGGAGAAAAAUAUUCUUGGCAUGAAAAACGAAGGAGGAAGACUUCUUCCAUCAGCGGCGGUGCACUACCCGAGGUGGCAGUGCCCAGUCGGCACGCUGUAGGCCUGCUGCCGUGCGUGCAGGGCUUAGGCGCACAAGGCGCCACGCGUGCAGGUCUCAGGCACAUAGGGCCUGUCCACGCAAGCCUAUUGCCAGGAUGGCACGGGCACAGUGUGUGGCAGCAGUCCGUGCACAAAGUGGUGUGUGGACGGCCCGCCUGCGCACGAGAGGACAUGCGCGCAGGUUCUGCCCCGUGUCGUGCAUGCUGAUGGGACGUGCGUGCUAUGCGCACAGAGGGGACGUACACGCUAGCAUGCGGAUGGGACGUGCGUGCUGUGUGCAUACCCUGCGACCAUUGUGCAUGCAAGCUCACGCGCACAGUGCCCAGCACCCCCAUGGGCAAACUGACUUUUUGCGAGAUUUUUUCCACGAGCAGGUUUUUUCCUGUUUUGCCAUUUUAUGAUUUUUUUCUAAAUUUUCUUUUUAAUUUAAACCAAAAUAGAAUAAUUUUAAAAUAUAUAAAAUAAUAAAAUAAAAAUUAAUAAAAAUAAAUCAAAAUUACGAAUCACGAAAAAUAUUGAACAACGUAAAUUAAUUAAGUAUAAGACGGUCAUAUAUCCAAAUAAAUAGGGUUUUCAAAUCAUUUUAGCACAGUGAUGGACAGGGUGUUACAUCCCUCCCACUUAAAAAGACUUGAUCCCUAAAUUUGUCUCGAAUAAGUUUGGAUAAUUUUCCUCAUUUUAUCCUCCAACUCCCACGUUGCUUCUUCCGUAGUGUGAUGCUGCUAAUGUACUUUCACCAUGGGAAUCGUCUUGUUAUGUAAGACCUUAUCAAUGCACCCAAGAAUUUUCAUAGUAACCUCUUUAUAGGUCAUAUCAGCAUGUACCUAUACCUCAUCAUGAGGAAUAACAUGAUAAGGAUCAGGGUGGUACCUCUUGAGUAUCGAGACAUGAAAGACAUCAUACAAACCCGCGAACUCCUAGGAUAGAGUGAAGUAGUAAGCAACAGGUUCAAUAUGCUCGAUGAUCGAAAAAUGUCCCACAUAACGAAGGCUCAACUUCCCUCUAGUUCUAAACUGCAUCUUGCCUUUGUAGGGUAGACUUUUAGGAAGACUUGAUCUCCCACUACAAACUCUAAGGGUCGCUUAUGAUUAUCAGUGUAGCUCUUUUGGUGACUUUGGAAAUUAUUAAAUUCUUACAGAUGAUUGCGACCUUCUCUAUGGUCUCUUGAAUUAAGUUUAGUCCUAAGUAGCACUAGUUCCCGACUUUACCCUAGCAAGUAGGAGAACGACAAGGUCUUCCAUACAAAGCUUCAUACGAGGUCAUACCGGUGCUGGAAUGGUAACUCUUAUUAUUGUUGGCUUAAAAAUAAAGUAGAAGACUAUUAAGAGUAUAAAUUAAGAUGAGAAAGGAGUCUGAUCUUCAUUCACUUUUAGUAAUUGAUUUUUAAUCAUUUUCUACAUGACCCCUUAAUUCAAAAUCACAUAUGCCUAAUUAUCGUCGAAAAUAGUCAUGUUUGAGCUGAGGUAAAGACUUUAUAAAUAAGUGAGCAACUUGAUCAUUUGUACCAUAAAAUUCCAGUACUAUUUCUCCAUUUGUUACCAGUCUCCGAAUGAAAUGAUGCCACGUUUCUAUAUGCUUCGUUAUGCCAUGGAAAACUGGAUUUUUUGUCAUUGCAAUCGUACCUUUAUUGUUAAAAAGAAAUGGUAGUUGCUGCUAGUUGUUCUUGGCCCAAAUCAACAAGAAUUCUUCUAAGCCAUACUGCUUGACAAGCUGAUGAUGUUGCAGCAAUGUAUUCAACCUCUGAAGAUGAUAAUGCCGCAGUAUCCUGCUUUUUUGAGCUCCAAGAGAUAGCUCCAGAACCUAGGCUAAAACUAUAGCCUGAUGUACUUCUUAUAUCAUCCAAAGAACCUGCCCAAUCACUAUCGGUAUAAUAAAAUAAUUUAAAAUCUGAUAUUUUAGAGUACCGAAUUCCAAAGUUAGCAGUUCCAGCAACAUAUCACAGGAUUCUUUUAGCUGCUCCAAGGUGAUAUUUUGUUGGAUUGUGCAUAAACCUGGACAAAAUACUAACAAAAAAUGCAAUGUCGGAUUGAGUGUGUGUCAAAUAAUUUAACCCACCUGUCAAUUUUUGAAAAUAGGUUACAUUAGCCUUUCCUGUGUCAUCUUCAGGUUGCUAUUUUUCAUUUGAAUUCAUUGGAGCAGAAGUUUUGUUGCAGCUCACCAUGUUGAACCUAUUGAAUAGAUUAAUUGCAUACUUUUGCUGCAUAAUAAAAAUUCCAUCUACUCUCUAUUUCAUCUCAAGCCCAAGAAAAUAUUGCAACACGCUCAAAUAUGUCAUUUCAAAUUUUUGCAUCAUAGAGGACAUAAAAUCAACAAAAAGACAUUCACUUGACCUGAAAUAAAUCAUGUCAUCAACAUAGAGACAUAUAACAAGAAAAUCAGCUUUUUCUUCUUUCUUUGAAUAUAAAGUGGGCUCAUUAUCACUUCUUUCAAACUCAUUUUCACGAAAAUAGUUGUCAAUCUUACUAUACCAUACUCGCAGAGCUUGCUUAACCUAUUUUUGAAAAUAGGUUACAUUAGCCUUUCCUGUGUCAUCUUCAACUUACUAUUUUUCAUUUGAAUUCAUUGGAGCAAAAGUUUUGUUUCAGCUCACCAUGUUGAACCUGUUGAGUAGAUUAAUUGCAUACUUUUGCUGCAUAAUAAAAAUUCCAUCUACUUCCUGUUUCAUCUCAAGGCCAAGAAAAUAUUGCAACACGUUCAAAUAUGUCAUUUCAAAUUUUUGCAUCAUAGAGGACUUAAAAUCAACAAAAAGACAUUCACUUGACCCGAAAUAAAUCAUGUCAUCAACAUAGAGACAUAUAACAAGAAAAUCAGCUUUUUCUUCUUUCUUUGAAUAUAAAAUGGGCUCAUUAUCACUUCUUUCAAACUCAUUUUCACGAAAAUAGUUGUCAAUCUUAUUAUACCAUGCUCGCAGAGCUUGCUUAAGCCAAUACAAUGCUUUCUUUAGAUUAAAGACUUUAUUUUCAUAGCUGGCUACAACAAAGCCUUCAGGUUGAGAAACAUAAACUUCUACUUUCAAGUUUUCAUUUAAAAAAGCAGAUUUCACAUCAAACUAAAAAAUAGGAAGAGAUAAAUGAGCAGCUAAAGCAAGCAAUACCCUUAUUGUUUCAAAGUGAGCAACCGGUGAGAAUAUUUCUUCAAAAUCAACGCCUUGUUGCUGAGCAUAUCCCUUUUCUACAAGUCGAGCUUUUUGCUUUUAUAUACUUCCAUCCACUUGGUACUUAGUUUUAAACACCCAUUUAAGUCCGAUAACGUGUUUUCCUUUAGGUAAAUCAACCAAUUCCCAGGUCUGAUUUUUUUGGAUUGCAGCAAUCUCUUCAUUCAUAGCAUUGCACCAUUCUUGUACUUGUGCAGCUUCAUCAUAAAAUUCUGGAUCUAAAACACACAAAAUAAAAGAAACAGAUGCAUAAAUUUCCCUCAAGGACCUGAAUUUCCUGGGAGGAGUUUCACUUGAUGAGGAGGAGUUAGAGUUGACUGGACUUAAGGAAAUUGAGCUGACUGGACUUGAAGAAUUUGAGUUGACUGUGGGAGAUGAACUUGCUGAAUUUGAAGAUGAAGAAUCAACAACAAUAUCUUCUACAAUUGGCAUUUGAUCAUGUUUUUGAACACUUCCCCAAUCCCAUUCUACUUCCUCAUUAAAGACUACAUUUCUGCUAAUAAUAAUUUUGCCACUUAAAUGGUUGUAUAGCCUAUAUGCUUUUGAUUGAGAGCUAUACCACAAAAUAUAUUUUGUAGUUUUCUCAUCAAGUUUACAGCAAAUUUGAGAAUUAAUUAAAGCAUAGGCUAUCCAACCAAAAAAUUUUAAGUGACUUACAUGUGGUUUCCUUCCAUUCCAUGCUUCAUAUGGAGUUUUGUUCAUAACAACCCUUGUUGGAGAGAUAUUCAAAAUAUAUACUAUUGCUAUAACUACUUCAACCCAAAAGGAAUUUGAGAGACCUUUGGCUUUUAACAAACUUCUAGCCAUGUUCACCACAGUUCGAUUCUUCUGUUCAACAACACCAUUUUGCUAUGAUGUAUAUGGUGCAGUAAGCUGUCUGCGAAUGUCACAUUCUUCACAAAAAAUAUUAAAUUCAGUAGAAAUAAACUCACCUCCUCUGUCAGUAUGAAGACACUUGAUGCGACUGCCAAUAUGAUUUUCUACCAAGGCCUUAAAUUUUAUGAAACUAACAAGAGCUUCAGACUUAGAUCUAAGAAAGUAAACCUAAUUCAUACGGCUGUAAUCAUCAAUCAACAAUAAAAAAUACCGACUCCCACCAAAUGAGUCGGUAUUCAUUGGUCCACAUAAAUCCGCAUGCAUCAAUUAAGACAAAUGAGUAUCAAAUACAGAUUUAGAAUAAUGAGUGUAUGAUAAUAUUUAUGCAGCAAAAUUAAAUCUUAACAAAUCCCUUAGAAAUAUAUAUAUAAUGUUCUAAAUACAUACAUCGUUGAGACCAGAAGUGGGUACAAAAUAUAAAACAUAAGGGCCACUUCUUUCACUAUGCUACUGGAAUUCAUAAGAGUGCGAGAACAGUCAUGCACUCAGACUUAUGGAUCCACGAGAUCCUCAUAGACUUCCAAGGGUAGGUCUAUUUGCAGUUCAUCAUUUUAUUCCUCAUCUGGGGGGAAUGAAAAGAGUGAGUUCCAUAUGCUCAGUAAGAAAAAUAAUAUUAAAUUAACAUCGUGAGAUUUCAAAAGUUUAUUAUUUUAUGUUACCAUUUAGCUUCCUCGUUCACCUAACUCAUCAUUAUGAAAACUACUUAUUUGAAUAUGAAAAUAGUAUGUUAGCUCAGAAAAUUAAAUAUAUAUAUCAUGCUAAAUAAUAGAGAAAAUCAAAUAAAUUAUGGUAUGCACAGAUUUUUCGUGUGUUUUACGAAAUCGUUACAAACUUCCAUCUCUGAGAGCAGAUACAGAUUUCUAACUACCCAAGCAGAAUGACCAGAUCAGAUACAGAUACGACAAUUUGCUCAGGCCUACUUCCUGCUGGCCAAACCAUAGUGCGAUCUAUGACCACGGCCGUCCCAAUCAUAAUGACCCUAACAGAUAUUUAUAGUCACGAGAUUACUUAACCAUAGGUGACUCCUACAGAUAGUGCGAUACCACUAUCGUUAGAGAGCACACCAUUAUCCACUGGGAGCGGUUCUCUUAUGUCUUUAUAGAUAAGAUAGGGGAGGGAGAAACAGAUACCCCAAAGAGAAAGGGGAACAGAUAUCCCUCAAAGAUAAAAAACUUAACGAGACACUUGAUGUAAUAUGCAUGUCAAUACAUAUAUGCUUCGGACCAUACAAGCUUCAUUCCACUUUUCUCAUUUUUUUUCUUUUUACUUUUACUAUUACGGCUACAUAUUACAUAUAUUACAUACAAAUUCAUCAAGUGUCACUAAUUCACACAACAUACUUGAAAAUUAGAAUAAUUCAACUCAUUUGAACACGGAGGCAUACAAAACAGACAAAAUAACAAUCAUAUUAAGUUUACUUAUCUAACAAUAGUCCUUAAGACGUCAAAAGCAAUACUAGACUCCUUACCCAAAUCUCGAUAUUUUCUUCUUCACCAUUUUCCUUUCUUUUGCUUCUUCUCUUACAAUUUACUAUCUCUCUCUCUCUCUCUUUAAACCUUUGAAAAAUGGAAGAAAUGGAAGUGUAGAGAGGAAAGGAAGGAGAAGGGCAAUUUAUAGAAGUUUGAAAGCAUUGGAUUCGCGCCAAAUGGAAAAAUCUGAUGAAGAGAGAGGAGAAAAAAGAUUAUUGGCACGAAAACGAGGGAAGAAGAUUUCCUCCACCGGCGGCGGCGGUGCACUGCCCAAGGCAGCGGCAACGCACUACCUGAGGUGGCAGUGCCCAGCGGGCGCGCUGCAGACGCACAGGCCUGUUGCCGUGCGUGCAAGCCUUAGAUGCACAAGGCCUGUCCGCGCAGGCAUCCUACGCAGACAGUGCUCGCACAGUUUGCGUUGUCAGUCCGUGUGCGAAGUGACGCACAGAUGGCCCACCUGCGCGCGAUAGGAUGCACGCGCAGGUUCUAACCUCGUGCCGUGCACGCAGAUGGGACGUGCACGCUGCAUGAACGUCCCGUGCAUGCGUGCGUGCGGACGGGACGUGUGCGCUGUGUGUACGCUUUGUGGCCACUAUAUGAGCAAAUGCACUUGCACAGUGCCCAACACCCGCGCGUGCAAACUUCCUUCUCGCAGGAUUUUUCCUGCGAGCAAGUUCUCUCUCGUUUCGCCAUUUUUCAAUUUUUUUUCUAAAUUUUCUUUUUAAUUUAAACAAAAUAGAAUAAUUUUAAAAUACAUAAGAUAAUAAAUUAAAAUUUAAAUAAAAAUCUAUAAAAAUAAAUUAAAAUCAUGAAUCAUGAGAAAUAUUAAACAACGUAAAUUAAUUAAGUUUAAGGCGGCCAAAGAUCCGAAUAAAUAGAGUUUUUAAUUCAUUUUAACAUAGUGAUAGGCAGGGUGUUACAGAAUACGUACAAGGUCCUGAAAAUUCUACAACAGAAAUAAAAAUUAGAGACAAAGGAGAAUAAUAGAAUAUAUAUAUAUACUGGUGUAUACAGAGGGGGUAAUUGCAGAAAUGGAGGUUUGUCAUUAUGGGAGGGAAGUUGGACAUCAUAAGUGAAACAAUUUAGUUACAACAAGAGAAACAGAAUAAAAAAGGAAUAGGGAAGUAUAUUUGUGAUUAAAGAGCAGAAUAAAUGAUAAUAGAAUAUGGUUAAAGAGGAAGAGUAGAAGAAAAAGGGGCUGUGAUUUUUUUUGAAAUAUAUUACGAAUUAUAAAGCCGAUGUAUAUACCGUUCAACAAGUUAUCAUUGAGGGAGGGGUGUGUGGAUGGCCGAAAUGAUAGUCGGAUUGAGUUGGGUACUCCUUAUAUAUGUGACGAACUAAUGGUUGGUGGUAAUAUGCAUCAUAUGAGUUAUGGUAAAUGGUAUGAGUGCUAGUACAUGUUUUAAGUCCCUUUGUACUAGAAAUGGUAUAAUNNNNNNNNNNNNNNNNNNNNNNNNNNNNNNNNNNNNNNNNNNNNNNNNNNNNNNNNNNNNNNNNNNNNNNNNNNNNNNNNNNNNNNNNNNNNNNNNNNNNNNNNNNNNNNNNNNNNNNNNNNNUCUGAAUUAUAUAGAAAUGAACACUAUAUAGCUCAUGUUAAAGAACUGGAAAGGGUAGGAACCAUAUUGGUUACGAUAUAGAGAAAAGUAGUAAAUAAUUCUUAUAGAGUUGCGAACUCGCCUCAUUUAUAUUUUUUUUACAGAAUAGAAAAAUCAACCUCCAAACCAGAUUCAGAUCACGCAGGAACCGGACACUUAAAACAUGAAAAUUGCUAAUGAUCACUAGUUAGAGUUAAGACUAAUUUACGCAUGUUAAAGAUUACUUUUAUUCAUUUUGAUGUAUUUCUUAAUUUCCUAUGAGCUUAUGAAUAAAUUUUGAAAUUUAAGAAAAAUGACAUUUUGUGAAUAAAGAUAAAUAUGCAUGAUGGAAUUUUGUAGAAUGCUUUGAUAUGGGUUGAUCCCUUGUUCUAUAUAGAGAUUGGGAACAUUAUAGAUGAUAUGAAAAUUUAGUAAAUUCGAGAAAACAUACGAAAUACUAGGUGUACGAUUUGUGUUGAUUCAAGUUGACCCCCUUAUUUCCUACUAAGAAAUUGGGAAUGUCACAUAAACCCCCAGUAUUUCUAUUCAGUCCGCAUAUUUUUCUUCCCAACCUUCACAAUUACGACCAAUAUUUAUCCACCGCCCAUCAUCUGCUCUAUCUUACUUCAAUAUUUAAUUCGCAUAAUAUUUCACCUCAUCAAAUUAGUUUUUACGCAAUAUACAACAUGAAUCUCACAAACACCACAUUUCACAAUAUAAGACAUUUAUUCACAUUUAUUAUGAAUCUAGGUUUUCAAGAGCAAAUUGACCUUACCUCUUUAUUCCCGAGUGGUGGCUAUGGUGCGUCGGUGAGUCUCUCGUCGUUCGCCCUUUGGUUGGCAUUGGAAAUGACAAUUUCCUUUUCUUUCUUUGAUCAACCACCAACAAUUCGAGUUCUUCUUCCUCUCCUCUCUCUUCCUCUACUGCUCUCUAUUGCGGCUAGGGUUUCCUCUCUUUUCUCCUUCAAAUGGUUGAGAAGAGAAAGCUUUUAUAGGGGUUUUCGGAACCGUUUGAUGUCAAGAACAAAUUUGGACUGUUGGCUCCCUUGUUUCUUUCUAAAUUCCUAGAUUUUCCUUCUUUUUUUAAAAUCUUUACCAACUAACCCUUACUUUAUUUCCCUAUUGCCCCUCUUCUUCCAAAACCUUUGCGAUUAGAUCCUUUCUCUCAAUAUUUUGCAAUAUUUAAAAAAAUUGUUUCUACUGAAUUUUUACAAAACUACCCCUAGGGUUCACAAUUGGAUCUUUGGAAUGUUACAUACAGAGACUAUUUUAAUAAAAAAAUUAAGACAAACUAAUUUGAAAAUAAAAUUAAUAAUAUAAUAAUCAAAUUAUUUUUUUAAUUUUUUUUAAUUUACAUUUACGAAAAGAGAUGAAAAAAUUAAUUAAAGAAAAUUUAAGUUAUAUUUAUAUAUUUUAUCAAUUACAUGGUAAAUAUAUAAGAACAAUAUCAUAAUUAAUAAUAACAUAACUUGUUAAUAAAAUAUUAAAAACUUAGCAAAAAAAUAAUUGAUAAUUUGAUAUAUUAAGUAAAAAAAAAUAUUUAAUAUUAUUUCUAAGAAAAAUCCAAUAUUUUUUAAUUAAGAAAUGUAAAACUAUAAAUAUAUUUCAUAUAAUUUUGAUAUAUUUAUUUCUUUCUCGUAUGCGAAUCUUGACUGCCAAGCAAAUUGCUUUUCUAAUAUUUUUACCAUUCACCAAUUGGUUAAAAAAGAGAGAUUUGUGAUAAGACUGAGAAAAUGAAAUUUUAAUUUUAUGUUUUUUUUAAUAAAAAAAUCAGUUUUUUUUAACAAUUAAUUUCCUAUUCACUUUAUUUGCAAAUGAAACAAAAUGUUAGUAGUAAAAAAAUGCCUAACUUAUAAAAAAAUCAAUUUAUUUUUUGUAGUUGUAAUACUCGGACUCGAAAAUCGGUUCAAGAUAAUUUUUCUAAUUAAUUUAUUUAUAAAAUAAUUAUUUAAUUUAUUAUAUUUAAGUUUUUAUUGAAUUUUUGAGAAAAAUAAAUUAAAGACGAAAAUUAAAGACAAUUUUGGAGAAAAGUGGUGAAAUUUUGAAUUCAUGGGGUGUUUUUAAAAGAAAAAUUGAAAACAAUGGUCAAAAUACAAAUAAAAGAAAUUCGGCAACAUGGAACAGCCCAAUCAGCAACCACGGUGAACCAGGGCACGCUGACGUCGAUGCCACAUGGGGGGCUACGCGGGCGAUCUACAAAUAAAAGAAAUUCGGCAACAUGGGAUAGCCCAAUCAGCAACCACGGUGAACCAGGGCAUGCUGACGUCGAUGCCACGUGGGGGGCUAUGCGGGCGAUCUGCGUGCCUAGCAAUCCGACAGUCUAGGAUUGAUCCCACACAUGUGGAUGCUCUAGAUGCAUUCCCCUUUGAAGCUUGAUCGGAUGGACGAGAUCAAAUGCGAUGAAUGAACGAGAUUCGGCCACGCCAUAAGCCUAAACGAAAAACGAUUGAACAAUUCUCAUCGCUCCACAUCAACGUAAACAAACGACACAGAUUGAAGAGGAGAUGAGUAUUUACAAUCCUAUUCGCAGGAGAACCCAAACCCUAGCCGCUAGCCACUUUCGGAGAAGAAGAGCCAGACGCUUUAGAAAAAGGUCGACUUCGGACCGCCACCGCACCGGAACAACCACUAAUUGUCAAAAAAUGUAAAAUUUCUCCAUACCCGUUCGGAAUUCAAUUCUGAGCCUCUCUGUGCCAUAUUGGAGCAAAAGGGACGGCAGGUGAGCCGAAAAUUACGGGCAGAGCCGCUGCAGCUAAAACUCUAAAAUUCCUCUGAUGAGCCCCUUCCCGUUUUCCGUUUUCCGUUUCACGCGAUCCUUUGACCAUUGUGUUCGCCAUUCCAUUAUAUACAGGUUAGCUAGAGAAGAAUCCCCACCUGCGAAGGAGAACUGGUGGAGCCACCGCACCCGGGGAUCCCCGCCAGUAGUUCAAUUUUUCAAUUUUCUAGCCAACUAAGGCUUCUUAAUGUACUUUUUGCAGGAAUACGUGUAAAACUUGCCAAAAUCGGUCAAAACUGGCAAAAUCUGCAAGCCAAGGUGAACCGCUGCCGUGGGCAGCGGAGCCAGCGUUGGAGCACGGCGACAUUGUCGUGCCAGAAACCUAAAAUUGUUUGGAAAGAGUUUUCAACACCGAUUUUGGAUUUUUUGAGUAUUUUUAUGUAUGUGACAAGUAUUUUGGGUUCCCGCAGAAAAAAUUCAAGAAACUCAGAAACCGUUAGGAGGCGUAAUAGACAGUUCGACAUUUCGAAACACUGAUCCGGAUAAGGAUCACUCAUCCUAUUCUCGGUUACGGUAAAUUAAAGAUUAAUAAUCAAUAAUUAUAUUUUUUAUAAAAAAUUAGAAAAAUUCUAAAAAUAUUACAGGUCACUAGUGGAGCUGGAACCGGUUAGUUCACAUUUGUCCUGAUUUCUUGUUUAUUUUCCUAUACUGCUUAAACUACUUACUAUUAUACUGUGCAUAUUUACAUUGAUAGUUUUUAUACUCUUCUCGAUUAUCUGGGUUAUUUGGUCCAUUCCAGCAUGAUUUAUCUGGUUAUCUGGUUACUCGGUUAUUAAUUAUGAUAAAUUAAAUCGCUUGCUUAAAUACCGUUUAAAUUGAUCAGUAAAUAUAACAUGAGACGUUGGUCUACUUUUGUGGCUGUUUGGAGAAUUAAAAUAAACUAAAGCUUACUGGGCAUCCUGAGAAAGGGUGGAUGGACUCGGUACAUAGAGAACCCUACCGUGGACAUUAUCUCAGUCAGACAGGGCUGAGAGGUCCCAAAUUGUAAGGGUUUUAAGAGAUUUUCUUCACCAUUAUACCAGACGGGGUAUCGAGGUGAUGGUGUUUUUGGUGCCUAUUAUUGGACGAGGUAUGGGGACGACCAAAUUAAUUGUCAAUUCUUGAUCCUAGAUCCACGAGUGAAGGGAUAUCCCUAUUGACCCCCAGGAGUCCCAGUAAAUAGGUUAAAAAUGAAGAAUUGUGAUCCCAUGAAUAAAAUUAAAAUGUCAUUUAGUUAUUUGUCUUCAUAGGUUGAUUUUAGAAAAAUCAUAAAAGUAACUAUCAAAUAAAAAAUUUUAAAAUUAAAUGUACUUACAUAAAGUAAGGGCUCCAUUAGUUAUUUUAUGAUUUUUAUCAACUUUCAGUUUUUUCGUAUUUGUUAUUAGUGUUAUAUUCUUAUUAGGCUAGUGUAGCUCACCCUUUUAUUAACCAUUUUAGAUCAAGAAGAGCAAGAUCCAUAUCCCAAUCAGCAAAAGAGUUGUGAGUAGUUCACCUCUCAUACUCCCUUCAAGUGCUAGUGAAUGUUGUCCUAAAAUACUUAUUUAUUCACGUUUUUUUUAAUUACUGUUUGUCUUUUAAAAGAGACAUUCUGUAGUCCUAUUGAGAAAUCUAAAUUAUUAUUUAAGGAAUGUAAACCCUAACUUUAUUAUUUACUUCCGUAUUUAAAUUAUAAAUUCAUUUUUAUUUAAGUUUUUAGCUUUUACAGUUAGUAUUAGAGCCGCAUUCCUCGGAACCAUUCCUUAUACAAAGACCUAAAAAUACUAAAUACAAACUAUCACUCAAUCAUUUCUUGUGAAAUGUAGGUACAAGGGUAUGAGGAGAUAAAGACCCCCACUAAACCGAGCAGUCCGGGAUGGUUCGCUUCGAGAAGAUAUUGACUAACUCUUUGAGAUGUUGGAGAGACUCAUCUCUACCCAGCAGACCCAAGAAGAAAGGAGGGAACAACCUGACCUUCCCUCGCUGCCAUAAUUUGAGCCACCCUUGCAGCGAGAAUAUCCAGAGCCACCCCAGUACAACCUAGCUCCUCUACCGUAUCAUCCGGCACCGCCACAAUAUAAUCUAGUACCCCCACUGUAUCAUCUGGCACAGCCAUAAGACCGCUCAAUCUCUCUACAACACAAUUUAGUCCUUCUUCCACGGGACCUAGUUCCACUCAUGAUGGACCCAGAUUAUAUUGAGAGGUACAAAAGACUAAAUACAUCUAACUUUGUAGGGGCAUCCUCUUUCGAAGAGGUCAAGUAUUUGUUAGUUGAGAUAGAGAGUCGUACUUGCCACCUACAUGCUCAUGAGAGAGCCAGGUCGCUGGUGGCAGCUCAAACAGGCCACCCUGCCCAUUCUACUCACUUGAGAAUAGUUCCUGAUGAUCUUUAAUGCAGAGUACCUUCUAGAGCACUUCUGGCAUUUGAAGAAAAUAGAGUUUGCACACUUAGUUCAGAGUGAUAUGACUGUGUCGGAGUAUGCCCAAAGGUUCCUAGAGUUCUGCCAGUAUUCCCCUGAGAGCAUGAUGGAUGAAGGCAGGAAAACAAGGAAGUUCGAAUUGGGCCUCAGUCUUGAGAUCAGACAGUAACUAUAUGUAUUUUAGCUCAGUACCUACUCAGCCAUUCUGGCCAAGGCACAACUAAUGGAGAGGAACCUUCGUAUCUUUUCUCUAAUAGUGGAAAAUCCCAGACCCUUGGUCUCACACCGCAGACCAACACCUACUAUACCGGUUCAGUAGAAUAAGAGGCCUAGGGCAGUGACUCAGGCUCCUCUUCAGGGUCCGGUAACAGGACGCGGUAAGACUUGUCAGCACUGUGACAAGGAUCAUGGGGACCGACCCUAUUAUCAUCUCAACAAUACAUGCUGCAUAUGUGGAAGUGCCCAAUACUAUGCAAGAGAGUUCUCGCGAAAUCAGAAUCAGGCCAGACCUCCUAUUCAAGGCAGAGCUUAUAACCUCACUCAGUAGGAUGCUGAAGCUAACCCAAACGUGAUAUAGGGUACAUACACUAUUUGUAAUCACCUUACACAUAUUUUGAUUAAUAUCAGUGCUUCAUAUUUGUUUAUCUCACAUGCUUUUACACCAAACUUGAACGUAUUACCUAAAAAACUUAAUUAUGUGUUAUUGUAUCUAUUCCUAGGAGUAUGACACUACUAAAAGAGGUUAUAUACAAAUCUUGUCUCAUAAACAUAGCAGAUAGCAAAUUGAGUAUGGACUUAAUAGAUAUUGACACAAGGAACUUUGAUGUAAUUUUAAGAAUAAAUUGGUUAGUAGAGUAUCCCGCCACCAUAAAUUGUUUCCACAAAAAAUUUGUAUUCAACCCUCUUAACGAAUAGUUAUUUACAAGUUAAUAAACAAUUUAAAACACUAUUCCUUAGUAAUAAUUUUCUUAUUACAUAGUGCUUUAACUCGGUUGUCUUUUCUACAGUAUACUGACCUAAGAAAGAAGUUUGUAUUCAAGAGAUCUUGGUAGACCGAGACUUUUCGGAUGUGUUUUCUGAUGAACUUCUUGGAUUUUCAGUAGACAAAGAAGUUGAGUUCACCAUAGAUCUUCAGCUUGACACCUACCCUAUCUCGGUUGCCCAUUACUACAUGACUCGUGUUGAGAUGGAAGAGAUGAGGAAAUAGAUCAAUGAAUUGCACCAUAAUGGGUUCAUCCAACAUAGUUUGUCUCUUUGAGGUGCUGGAGUCACAUUUGCAAGGAAAGAGGAUGAGAUGUUAAGAUUAUGUAUUGACUAUAGAUGAUUGAACAGAGUCACGAUCAAGAACAAGUACCCCUUCCUCAGGAUUGAUGACAUCUUUGAUCAGUUGUAGGGUGUCCAGAUCUUUGCCAAAAUAAACUUGCAUUUGGGUUACUAUCAGGUAAAGAUUAGGGUAGAGGACAUUCCCAAUAUAGCGUUCAGAACUAUGUACGGAUACUAUGAGUUCCUGAUCAUGCAAUUUGGACUUAUCAUGCACUAACCAUUUUUAUGGAUUUGAUGGACAGGAUUUUCAGACAAUUCGUGGAUCAAUUCGUCAUUGUGUUUAUCGAUGAUAUCCUGGUAUAUUCAAAUAGCAGAGAGAAACACGUUCACCACUUAGGUUUUGCAAGUUCUUAAGGAGAAGAAACUGUAUGCAAAAUUGAGCAUGGGUUCUGGCUCGAGUAGACUACCUUUCUAAGGCACAUCAUAUCAAUGGAUAGAGUAUCAAUGAACCCCAAAAAAGUUGAGGCAGUACUUGGUUGAGAGAAAUUGACAUCGAUUAAGGAGAUUCGUAACUUUCUGUGAAUGACAGGAUAUUACCGUAUGUUUUUGGAAUGAUUCUCUAUCCUAGCUGCUCCUUUGACCCCCUAACAAAGAAGAAAUUAAGUUUGAAUAGAAUGAGAAUUGCAAAAUGAGCUUUAUAGAACUCAAGAAACGGUUGACUACUGCACCUGUGUUGGUUUUAUCGAGUGGGACAUGUGGAUAUACAGUAUAUAGUGAUACCUCCUACAUAGGGUUGUGUUGCAUUUUGAUGUAGCAUGAAAAUUUCAUAGCCUAUGAGUACAGACAGUUGAAGAGUCAUGAGAAAAAUUAUCUCACUCACGACUUAUAACUUACUACCAUUAUCUACGCCUUGAAGACCUGACGCCACUACUUGUAUGGAGAGAUUUUUGAGAUUUAUACUGAUCAUAAGAGCUUGAAGAACAUAUUCACUUAGAAUGAUCUCAACAUGCAUCAGAGGUAUUGGACAGAGCUCCUCAAGGACUACGAUUAUAAUAUUUUGUAUCACCCAGUCAAUGGCAACAUUGUAGCCGAUGCGCUCAGCAGAAAAAAUACAUGUAUGUCAGCUCACAUAAUGGUUUCUGAAUGCAGGGUAAUAGAGGUCGCACAACAUAUACAACUUCAGGACUUGAAGAGAGUUACAUGCUCGGCCCACCUAACUGUCCAACCUGAAUUAAUCCGAAAAAUAAAUAAAGUUCAAUUAACCGAUUCCACCAUAACAACUCUCAAGAAGGAUGCAGAAUAGGGAGUAAAUCCAGAAUUUUAAGUCUUUACCGAUGGGUUGCUUAGGUUUCAGGACAGGGUGUGUGUUCUAGAUAACAAUGAACUAAAAAGGGACAUCGUGACGAUGCUCAUAGCUCAAAUUUUAAGACAUGGUGUGUGUUCCAGAUAACAAUAAACUAAAAAAGGACAUCAUGACAGAGACUCAUAGCUCAAAGUUCACCAUACAUUCCGGAAUUACUAAAAUGUAUCAAAGUAUGUGACACCAGUUUUGGUGAAGUGGAAUGAAAAGAGAGAUAGUCGACUUUGUCUCCAAGUGUUUGCUAUAUCAACAGGUUAAGGUAGAGUAUCAACAGGUUAUUUCAGCCAUUAUGGAUCCUCGAGUGGAAGUGAAAACAUAUCACAAUUGAGUUCGUGACGGGGUUGCCCAAGGCACACUUGGGAUAUGAUGUUAUCUGGGUAAUUAUCGACCGCCUCAUCAAGUCCUCUUACUUUUUGGCUAUCAAAAUGACCGAUCCCUUAGACAAGUUAGCAAAAAUAUAUAUAUAGAAGAUAGUCAAGUUACUUGGAGUUCUAGUGACAGUGGUAUCCAAUAAAGACUCUAGAUUCACUUCUCAGUUUUGAUAUAGUUUUUAGUAAGUCAUGGGAACGAAGCUGUCCCUUAGUACCGCAUUCCACCCUCAAACCGAUGGACAAUCAGAGAGGACGAUCCAUACACUGGAGGAUAUGCUAUGAGCUUGCGUUCUGGACUUUGGGGGCCAUUUGGAUGAUCACCUAUCUUUAAUAGAGUUCGCCUACAAUAACAGCUACCAGACAAGUAUCGACAUGGCCCGAUACGAGGCAUGGUAUGACCAUUCUUGCAGGUCACUGAUCUGUUGGGAAAAGGUAGAUGAUAAGAAAUCGUUCGGUCCAGAUCUUGUAGAAGAGACUACAAUCAAGAUAGUUAAUAUCAGGAAGAACAUCCAUAGCUCAGAGUAGACAGAAGAGUUAUGCGGACACCCGGAGGAGGGAUUUGAAAUUUGAGAAAGGUAAUAGAGUAUUUAUUAAGGUCACCCCUUUCAAGAAAAUUAAUAAGUUUGGCAAGAUGGGAAAAUUAAAUCCCCAAUUCAUUGGGCCAUUUGAGAUCUUAGACAUGAUUGGUAUGACUGUCUACAGACUGACAUUACCUCCAGAACUAUUCAGGGUUCAUAAUGUAUUUUAUGUAUCUAUGCUAUGCAAGUACAACCGAGACCCGUCACACAUCUUAUCCCAUGAGCCUUUUUCACUCUAAAAGGAUCUAUCCUAUGAGAAGGUACCAAUGGUUAUUGUAGAUCAAAAAAGCAAAGUACUCCGCACUAAAAAAAUUUCUUUUGUCAAGGUCUUAUGGCAUAAUCACACACAGAAAAAGGCUACAUGGGAGUUAGAAUCGGACUUCAGAGCUCAUCCCCAACUGUUUAACUAAGUGAGAGGGUGACAAGUUUGAAGGACCAAAUUUUUUCUUAAGGGAGAGAGAGUUGUAAUACUUGGGCUCGAAAUUUAGCAUAGAAUCAAUUUUUGUCUUUAUAAAAAUAAAUAAAAACAUUAUUUUAAUUUUAUUUUAUUAAAUUAUUUGAGAAAAUGGGUUAUGAAUGUAAUUGAAAGUAAUUUUUGAGAAGAAUGGUGAAAAAUUGAGUUCGAUGGGUAUUUUUUUAAAAAAAAUUAGAAAUAAAGAGGGUCAAAAUGCACAAAAGGGAAAUUCAGCCACGUUGGAUGACCUAGUCAGCAGCCACGGUGAAUCAGAGCACGCUGAGUGGGAAAACACGCUGACAUCGGUGCGAUGCAGGAGGCCACGCGGGCGAUCCGCAUGCCCAGUGAUCCGAUGACCCAGAUUUAAUUCCAUGCGUGUUAACGGCUCAUAUGCAUUCCCUCCUGAGGUAUGAUCGGACGAAUGAGAUCAAUCGCGAUGAAUGACCCAGAUUCGCCCAUGUAAUUGUUCUAAAAAGACAAUGAUCGGACGACUNNNNNNNNNNNNNNNNNNNNNNNNNNNNNNNNNNNNNNNNNNNNNNNNNNNNNNNNNNNNNNNNNNNNNNNNNNNNNNNNNNNNNNNNNNNNNNNNNNNNNNNNNNNNNNNNNNNNNNNNNNNNNNNNNNNNNNNNNNNNNNNNNNNNNNNNNNNNNNNNNNNNNNNNNNNNNNNNNNNNNNNNNNNNNNNNNUCAAAUCUUGAUACUAGCUCCACGAGUAGAGAGAUCCCUGUGGACCCCCUAGAGGUCCCAGUAAGUAGGGUAAAAAGGACGGAUUGUUGAUCCUGUGCAUGAAAUUGAAAUAUAAUUUGUUUAAUUGUCUUCAUAUGUUGAUUUUGGAAAAAAAACCUUAACAGUAAAUAUCAAAUAAAAAGUUUUAAAGUUAAAUGUAUUUACUUAAAGUAAAGGCUCCAUUAGUUGUUUUCUAAUUUUUACCAAUAUUCGAUUUUUCGUAUAAGUGAUUAGUGUGUUAUUUUUAUUGAAGUAGUGUACAUCAUUCUUUCAUUAACCAUUUCAGAUCAAGAGAACCAAGAUCCAGAUUCCGAUCAGCAAGAAGGUUGUGACUAGUUAAUAUCCUGAACUCCUUUCAAGUGUUAGUGAAUGUUGUCAUAAAUACUUAUUUAUUCUUUUUUCAUUAAUUAUUAUUUAUCUUUUAUGAACUACGUAGAAGAGAUAUUCUUAUAGUCUUAUUGGACAAUUCAAUUUAUUGUGUAAGAAAUGUAAACCUUAACAUUAUUAUUCGCUGUCACAUUUAAAUUAUAAAUUUAUUUUCUUUUAAAUUCUAGAUCUUUACAAACAUACAUAAAAUACCAAGUAUUUAAGAAAAGUUUUAUUGAUAAUUUGAUAUAUUAAAAAUGAGAAAUUUUUUAAGAAAUGUAAAAUUAUAAAUAUAUUUCAUAUAAUUUUGAUAUAUUUAUUUAUUUCUCGUAUGCCAAUCUUUAUUGCCAAGCAAAUUGCUUUUAUAAUAUUUUUUCCCUUCACUGAUUGGGUAAAAAAGAGAUAUUCGUGAUAAGGUUGAGAAAAUCAAAUUUUAAUUUUUUUUUGUUUUUUUUUAUUAUAAAAAAGCAGUAUUUUUUUAAUCGUCAAUUAAUUUCCUAUUCCACUUUAUUUGCAAAUGGAACAAAAUGUUAUUAGGAAAAAAAAAAGGCUUAACUAAAUUAUAAGAAAAUCAAUUUAAUUAACUAAUUAAUCAAAUCACCUUAAUUUUAUUAUUAAAAUUUUAUUUAAUAUAAGAUAAUCUGCGAAUAAUGUAAACGCAUGAUCUAUCAAAUAUUUUAUUGACUAAGCUCACAUCCACUUGCUUAAUUAAAUUAAAAAAAUCAACUUAUUUUUUAUAAUUACCCUAAUUAUCAUAAAAAUACAUACUGAUUUCGUUAAUUAAUUAAAUUAUCUUAGUUUUAUUAUUAAAAUUUUAUUUAAUAUGAACUUUAUGCAAAUAAUACAAAAUAGUUGACUAGGCUGACAUUCACCAACUUAAUUAAAUUAUAAAAAAUCAAUUUUUUUUUUUUGUAAUUAUGCUAAUUCACAUUAAAAACACAUUGAUUUAAAUAAUUAAUCAAAUAAUCUUAAUUUUAUUAUUGAAAUUUUAUUUAAUACGCAAUUAAAUGACUUGACUAGGCUAACAUCCACGUGUUCACUCUUCGGCUUUCUCUUUCACCGUCAUGCCGUUUCUUCUAAAACUUAAAGACAAAAGGCAUUGAAAAACAAAGGAAAAAGAAAAAGAAAAAGCAUUUACUAGGCACGGUCUCUCUCUCUCUCUCUCUCUCUCUCUCUCUCUCUCUCUAUAAAUACACACAUGGCCAGUCUCUGGAUACGUACUACAAAGCUAGUCUUCCCUCACUUCCUCGUCCCUUCUCCUGUUUCUUCAACAUUUCAGACCCUCCGCAAGUAAAGAAAACAGAAGCAAAGAGCAUCGGAGAAAAUGUCGGAUAAUGAAAAUCAAGUUCCUGAGAUGAUCAACGGUGACUCCCACGACAUACGCUCCCUUCUUUCUUCUCCGGAGAGGGACUUUCUUGUUCGUAACAACGGUCAACAGGUGAUUGACUUCGUUGCUUGGGUCUGAGACUGGGAAGUUUUCUUUUCUUCUUUCUUUAGUUCUUUAGUAGCUCUAGUUUCUGUGAUCCAUGAAUUUUCUUUGCUCAAUAUGUGAUGUUGUACAAAGCAUGUAGGCUCUACAGGAUUGAUUAUCAGGGGAAGUUCACGUGAUCACAAUUAUCAUUUCUGAAUUUAAUUGAGAGUGGCUGCAAAAUAGGAUUGAUGUAUUUGUGGCAUGGGAGGAUGUUAAAACCAUUUCUAGAGAUUUUUCUUGUCAUUUGGUAAAUACCUGUCUGCUUAACUGUAACUUAGCAGGAAUUGCAGGUAAGCUCUAGUGUUAGGGAUUUUCAUAGUGGACGAUAAGUGGAUUUAGUUUGAUAUAUGGAGGGUAUAAUUGUGAUUAUCUAGGUUAUCUUUAGAACAAAUAAACUUGGUGUGGAAUUUAUUUGGAUAUUUUAAUUUAUUUUGACUGAGAAGGGGUGAGGGAUCUUUAGCCUUUCAUGGUGAAAAUAAGUAUAAGUUGCCAAAAGAAUUUUACAAACAAAAUUAAUUUGUCCCUAAAAGCGUUAACUUGCGUAAAAUUCAUUUUUGUGUAGGUGAACUGUAAACUGUAUUCAGUGAACUCGGUUAGAUGAUUUUUUGGGAAUGGAAUGAGUUCUAUUAAUUGACUCAAAAGUGUUUAUGGUUGGCCACAUGUCUCUUGUUAGAGGUAUGAAUGGAACGGAAAUCACAUACUAAAUUCCUAAUUUUACAGGUUAAAAUCGAUAGCCUGAAGGGGAAGAAACUUGGAUUAUACUUUUCUGCACAUUGGUGUGGCCCAUGUCAGCGUUUCACCCCUCGAUUGGUUGAGGUGUAUGAUGAACUCUUCCCAAAAGGUGAUCUUGAGGUUGUUUUUAUCUCUGCUGAUGAAGAUGAUCAUUCAUUCAAUGAAUACUUUUCUGUAAUGCCCUGGCUUGCUAUCCCAUUUAGUGAUUCAGACACACGUAACCGCUUGGAUGAAUUGUUCAAAGUGAGGGGAAUUCCCCACCUUGUAAUCCUUGAUGAAAAUGGGAAAGUUGUGAGUGAUGAUGGGGUGGGAAUCGUUCGAGAGUAUGGAGUGGAAGGGUUCCCUUUCACCCUGGAAAGAGUGAAAGAAUUAAAAGAGGAAGAAGAAAAAGCCAAAAGAGAGCAAUCUUUGCGGUCUCUCCUAGUAUCACAUUCACGGGACUUUGUAAUUUCACCUGAUGGAAGCAAGGUAUUUGUUAGCUAUGUUUCUAGUGAUUUAAAGUUACAAGUAAAAAUUUUGACUUUCAUAUUUAUUGUUCGUUCCAUAAUCUGACUUCUGCUAUUGAUGUGGAUAUAUUCAAGAUGGCUGUAUCCGAACUUGAAGGGAAGACGGUUGGUCUGUAUUUCUCAGUGUCUUCGUACAGACCAUGUAUUGAUUUUACCGCAGAACUUGUGGAGGUUUAUAAGAAACUAAAAGAAGAAGGAGAGAGCUUUGAGAUUGUGUUAAUAUCUCUGGAUGAUGAGGAAGAAUCAUUCAAACAAGCUUUUGAAAUCAUGCCUUGGUUUUCCUUGCCCUUCAAGGACAAAUUAUGCGAUAAGUUAAUUCGGUAUUUUGAGCUCUCAACCAUUCCCACUUUAGUUAUUAUUGGGCCUGAUGGAAAGACUGUUCAUUCCAAUGUUGCUGAGGUGAUUGAAGAGCAUG
rnacentral:lncRNA from 1 species